rnacentral:rRNA from 1 species
UGGGGAAUAUUGGACAAUGGAGGAAACUCUGAUCCAGCAAUUCUGUGUGUGUGAAGAAGGUUUUAGGACUGUAAAACACUUUUAGUAGGGAAGAAAAAAAUGACGGUACCUACAGAAGAAGCAACGGCUAAAUACGUGCCAGCAGCCGCGGUAAUACGUAUGUUGCGAGCGUUAUCCGGAAUUAUUGGGCUUAAAGGGCAUCUAGGCGGUAAGACAAGUUGAAGGUGAAAACCUGUGGCUCAUCCAUAGGCUUGCCUACAAAACUGUUGAACUAGAGUACUGGAAAGGUGGGUGGAACUACACGAGUAGAGGUGAAAUUCGUAGAUAUGUGUAGGAAUGCCGAUGAUGAAGAUAACUCACUGGACAGAAACUGACGCUGAAGUGCGAAAGCUAGGGGAGCAAACAGG